AUGGUAAUAAAUUGUUGCUUAUAUUUGACUCGAAUCUAUUUAACAAAAAUUUUAUUCACUGAGUUCAGUGCUUUUAUUUAUAUAACAUAGAACUGGUUUUAUUCACAAACGUUUACGAUAUGGAUGUCUUGAAAUUUGACAAGGCUCCUGCUUACACGCUAGGCAUGCGGUUGAACCCAAAACAGACGUCGCUGCGAAUUCCAGGUCCCAAGUACGAUUUGAGCAACAUCACCAGGCGCGGACCGGUGAAAGUCAUAGGAGCUUCGCUGGCGUCAAAGUUGAAAGAACAAACGAUGCGGACUCCCGGACCGGCCGCGUACAACACCGUGCCCUGCAUGUCAGCCACUUUGCCCACGAUUCCGCAGUGUUCCAUAGGGAUGAGACGGGACUGCAUGCGGAAGUCGACGCGCACGCCGGCUGCAAAUGCGUACGCAUUGUCAACGACCAUCGGAAACCAAGCGCCCGACAUGCCGUCGGCGCCCAUGUACACGAUUUUGGGACGGUACCCAGGACGACGGUGGUUCUCUUCGCCGGGACCGGCGCGCUACUCGGCCGUGGCGCUUGAAAGGUUCAAGACACAGACGCCCAGACCGGUGAUGCUGGGCGCCGUCGAUCAGCAGACCCGAAGCAAACGCACCCCCGCUCCAAAUGCCUACUUUCCAGCCCCGGGCCCGGCGUCCCGUUACGCCAACGCGCCUCAAUUCUCGCUCGGCGGCCGUGUGCCGGCUCGCUCCAAACCUUUCUUGACGGCUGCCGACAAAGUGCCGGACUGGGAAUGACGACUGCUGCAGGCCGCCAUUACAGAAGUUCGACAGUAGGUGUAAAAUGAGAGUUCUAGAUCUCCUCCCCCUUAAAUUUUACAUGUAAAAGGAUAGGUAUGGCCUGUAUAGGCAACAACUACACAGCUCCUCCCAAACUUGUAUUAAUUACUCAAUAUAGGCAACCCGCAACACGCAUAAACCCAACACCAUCACCAGAUCCUACACGUAACCGGUAUAUAUUUUAUACCUUCUCCUUCAAACCCCCUACCUUUUGAAGAAAAAUAAUGUAUAUAAUAUUCUGAUUUUGACUAAAUAUGACACCUGACCAUCAAAUAUUUUUCCCCUUCCCAAUCAAUUAUAUUUCUUCCCCUUUUAUUUACACACACACACACACACACACACACAUAACAUAUUUACCAUCACAUACAUACUAAACGCAGUACACACACAUAUUACAUAAGUAAUCUUAUAUCACACAUACACAACAAUCAAACAUAUUAUAUAUAGUUAACAUAUCGAUACCUAUUUUAUUCAUUUACGAAUAAGUAGGUACCUAGCUAAAUCAUACGUAGAAAUAUAAUUGAUUGGAAAGGGGAAAAAUAUUUGAUGGUCAGGUGUCAUAUUUAGUCAAAAUCAGAAUAUUAUAUACAUUAUUUUUCUUCAAAAGGUAGGGGGUUUGAAGGAGAAGGUAUAAAAUAUAUACCGGUUACGUGUAGGAUCUGGUGAUGGUGUUGGGUUUAUGCGUGUUGCGGGUUGCCUAUAUUGAGUAAUUAAUACAAGUUUGGGAGGAGCUGUGUAGUUGUUGCCUAUACAGGCCAUACCUAUCCUUUUACAUGUAAAAUUUAAGGGGGAGGAGAUCUAGAACUCUCAUUUUACACCUACUUUCGACUAUUGUAGGAAAGGUUUUGUUGAAACUUGGAGAUAUUAUAGCAAGACAAUAACAAUUAAUGGAGAUGUGUACAAAAUUUAAGAGGGGUAAUUGCUUUUGAUGGAUCGGCAAGAGAAUUAAGACAAUCAUAUGGGGCCAUUACAUAUAGCAUAUGGUUUGAGAUCAAAUGAUCAAUGGCAAUGCUAUGACGAUUUAAAGGAUCAAGUAUCAACAAAAUCAAAAAGUUUUAAAGUUAAUGCUGAAAUUCUAUUUUAUACAAAAUUAUACCAAUGUUGUUAAUUUUACAUAUUUUUCAUUUGAAAUAAAACAAAGUACCUAACGUAA